rnacentral:misc_RNA from 1 species
AAGUCGUAACAAGGUUUCCGUAGGUGAACCUGCGGAAGGAUCAUUAUCAAUUUUACAGUCCUGGGAUGGGGGUAUAAAAGCCCCCAUCCCAUGCUGUUCAACCCUUUGUCUUUUGCGUACUGUAUGUUUCCUCGGCGGGUUCGCCCGCCGAUAGGACACUUCAAAACCUUUUGUAAUUGCAAUCAGCGUCAGAAAAACUAUAAUAGUUACAACUUUCAACAACGGAUCUCUUGGUUCUG